rnacentral:lncRNA from 1 species
GAAAAAAAUGUGUAUGAGGAAGAGACUGCAGCUUUCUAGAAGACCGAAAUUAACCGAGACAAGGCAGGAUAAAUACAAAGAAGAUGAUGUGCUCAUGAUCUUCACAGUCAAAUUGUUGAAAAGAUGUCCACUGAGGAGGUCUACAGAAAAAAAGAAAAAGGGCUGGGUGUGGUGGCUCACAGCUAUAAUCCCAGCACUUUGAGAGGCGUAGGCGGGCAGAUCAGUUGAGGCCAGGAGAUUGAGACCAGCAUGAUGAAACUCUGUCUCUACAAAAAAUUAAAAAAAAAAAAAUAACCAGGCAUGGUGACUUACACCUCUAAUACCCCUGUGAUGGUUGAUGUUAAAUGUCAACUUGAUUGGAUUGAAGGAUGCAAAGCAUUGUUUCUGGGUGUGUCUAUGAGGAUGUUGCCAAAGGAGAGUAACAUUUGAAUCAGUGAACUGGGAAAGGCAGACCCACCCUCAAUCUGAGAGGAUAUCAUCUAAUCAGCUGCCAACAUGGCAAGAAUAAAAGCAGGCAGAAGAACGUGUGAAGACUAGACUGGCUUAGUCUUCCAGCCUACAUCUUUCUCCCGUGUGAGAUGCUUCCUGCCCUCAAGCAUCGGAUUCCAAGUUCUUCGGCUUUGGGACUCUCGGACCUUUGACCACAGACCAAAAGCUGCCUUGUCAGCUUCCCUGCCUUUGAGGUUUUGGGACUCGAACUGGUUCCUUGCUCCUCAGAUUGCAGACGGCCUGUUGUGGGAACUCACCUCGUGAUUGUGUGAGUCAAUAUUCCUUAAUAAACUCCCCUUUAUAUAUACAUCUAUCUUAUUAGUUCUGUCCCUCUAGAGAACCCUAAUACACCCCCUUACUUGGGAGGCUGAGGCACAAGAAUCGCUUGAACCCAGGAGGCUGAGAUUAC